AUUGAACGCUGGCGGCAGGCCUAACACAUGCAAGUCGAACGAGUAGCGGACGGGUGAGUAAUGUCUGGGAAACUGCCCGAGGGAGGGGGAUCACUACUGGAAACGGUAGCUAAUACCGCAUACCAUCGGAGAGGCCCAGAUGGGAUUAGCUGGUAGGUGGGGGAACGGCUCACCUAGGGGACGAGCCCUAGCUGGUCUGAGAGGAUGACCAGCCACAUUGGAACUGAGACACGGUCCAGACUCCUACGGGAGGCAGCAGUGGGGAAUAUUGCACAAUGGGCGAAAGCCUGAUGCAGCCAUGCCGCGUGUAUGAAGAAGGCCUUCGGGUUGUAAAGUACUUUCAGCGGUGAGGCGUUAAUCGCAGAAUAAGCACCGGCUAACUCCGUGCCAGCCGCCGCGGUAAUAC
rnacentral:rRNA from 1 species